UCCUGGUUAGCUCAGUUGGUAGAGCGCUCCACUGGAAAUGAAGGGAUCUUGGUUUGAUACCAGGACCAGGCG
rnacentral:tRNA from 1 species